UAAAUGAGACAUAAGAAACUCUACGAUUCCUUAUGCUCUAAAUGAGACAUAAGAAACUCUACGAUUCCUUAGUGAGGUGAAUCAUUCCACCUACACGGUUAGUUCUGAAAACCUAUUCCUAACAUGAUAGUGAUCCUAAGUAUUUUAAUCGACGAUGGCUUCCUGAAAAUUUAAUUAAAAAUAAAGAAUCAAAAACAUUAAAAUUUGUCCUAAACUUUAUUAUACUAAACUAAAUUUCUGGAAUUGGGGCCUCCAAAAUUUUAAUAUAUUAACAGGGCCUAUGGCAAAAGCUUUUCAUGGAAUGUAGAAUGAACAACCCUCUAUAUACAUAUAUACACUCUUUUCAUUUAAAUGAUAUUAGCCAUUUUCACCGUGGGAAGGUUCCUCUGCAUGGGAUCUUAUCUUUAACCUCAGUUUUAUUCUAAGGUGAAGUUCCUGUGGAAUGGGCGGUGGCGCAUGGGUUACUCUUCCACUUUGUGUCUUACCGAAGGAGUCUUGCUUCCUCUUUUCUCAGGAAGUUUCAACAUUUUUCAGCAUUCGUGUUUCUUGUUUCUCCAUAUCGCUGGCGGCUCAAUGUUUAUGAAGCAGUCGUGUGUCAGCUUUAUAACUUUGGCGACGGCGCGUGUGUGUCUGCUGCUCGGUUGUUAGCAUAAUGUCUUUUAUGUGUCCGGAUAGAUUGAGUCGCAGCUUCUUCCUCUUUUCCUUUUCGGGUCACCACAUUCUCUUCUUUUCGUUCUUGGAAAUCGAUCGCGACAUUUUGGUUUUUAGUUCUCGUCCAUGUCUCUUCCUCUUGGUGCCAAUCUUUCGAUUGUUUGGUGCGCUUGGUGCCAAAUUACAGCCUGUAAGACCUCUGGGUCUCAGAGGCUGAGCAUGAGUGUCUCCUGGUUCUUAUCUCCCUUGUCAUUUGGAUUGCUCGGGUUUUGGUGGCAGGGUGUGUAGAAUUGCAUCAUUCCAGGGGUGGAGCCUAUGUUUCUUGUUUUUCUCUAGUGGAUGUUAGUUGCAGGACUUGGUUAUGCAAUGGGAUGUAAUACGGCAGCCUUUCAACCCAUUUUCAUCUUUACUUUUGGUAAUGUCGAGUACCUUCGGUUUUGGAUCUUGGUCAAAUCUGUCUUAGGAUUUUGAUGAGUUUGUGUCAUGACAUGUCAUCAGUCUUUAUUGGACCCAUGCUAAGAAUAGGUACCGUUAGCCCUUGUUGGGUUCUUGCAGAGAGUCUUUGUGCUCAAAGCAUUCGUGGGGGACCAGGAUUUAUACAUUGUAAUGUCCUUGGGAGACUAGGGUUCGUUCUCAUUGACAUUGUCAGAUGUCCUAGCCAAUUUUGUAAUUGUAGAUCAUGUUGUAUAAUAACUAGAAUUCUAGUCUUAUUGUGUUGUUCUUAAAAUCUUUUCAACUUUUUAGGACUUACAUGUUAACUUGUAUGUGUGUUCCAUUUUUAUUGAUGAAUAUUAAUAGGUUUGCAAAAAAAAAAAAAAAAUUGAUUGAAGAAAAUGAUUGGUCAACUUCAAAAUUAAAUAUUCGAAUUCAAAAACUUAAAUUUAAAAUUUAGAUAACAAAACUUAAAUUUAAACAAUCAAUAGCUAAGUAUUUGACCAAGACUGUCUAGGAUGUUAAUACAUUUAAUAAAAUUUUGAAUAACUGAUAGAAUAUUAAUGCAUUUACCUAGGCAUGAUACUAAAUAUAGGUGAAGUCAAGUGUUUGAAAAAAACGUGAUAUAAACGGAUUGAUUUACUUUUCCUACCAAAACUGAAUCUAGUCAAUUUCAUUAUAAAUAUGUCUUGUUUGAAAGAAAUGUAAAGCAAACUUUUUUUUAUCAAACAGUGUGAAAUAAAUCUUUAAGAACUUUUACAUAUUUCAACAUAGUUAUGGCAACCAAGAAGUUUCUAUCUCUUAUAUACUUGAUGGUGUUGGUUCAAAUCUUUCUACCAAUGAUUUCAGGACAAACCAAAGAAUGUUUUCUGCAACAACCAUGUGAAAACUCACCGACAUGCAAUGAGUUUUGUAAAUCUAAAGGAUACAUAAAAGGAGGAUAUUGUCAACACUAUCUUGGCCCAAAUCACAACAAUUGUUGCUGCUACCUUGUUGAUUCAGAAAAGUUUUUCAAAUUCGAUCAUACCAAUGUACUCAUUACUAAUUAGUUCAUCAUUGUAUUCAGUGCCAGUCCGGACUCAUAUAACGCCUAUAGCGUACUAAAAAAUAAUGGCUUUUAAACAUAUUAAUUUUUACUAUUUUUAAAUAUACUAAAAAUUAUAUCAAA